rnacentral:rRNA from 1 species
GAUGAACGCUGACAGAAUGCUUAACACAUGCAAGUCGAUGGGGAAGUGGUGCUUGCACCAUGGUAACCAUGGCGGACGGGUGAGUAACGCGUAAGGGACUUACCUGCAGGACUGGGAUAACAGGGGGAAACUCCUGACAAGACCGGAUAAUGUCAUGGAGCUGCAUGGCUUUAUGAUGAAAGGAGACGCCUGCGGAGAGCCUUGCGUCCUAUUAGCUAGUUGGUGAGGUAAGGGCUCACCAAGGCGAAGAUAGGUAGCCGGCCUGAGAGGGUGGACGGCCACAAGGGGACUGAGAUACGGCCCUUACUCCUACGGGAGGCAGCAGUGGGGAAUAUUGGACAAUGGGGGCAACCCUGAUCCAGCAAUUCUGUGUGCACGAAGAAGGUUUUCGGAUUGUAAAGUGCUUUUAGCAGGGAAGAAGGAAGUGACGGUACCUGCAGAAGAAGCGACGGCUAAAUACGUGCCAGCAGCCGCGGUAAUACGUAUGUCGCGAGCGUUAUCCGGAAUUAUUGGGCAUAAAGGGCAUCUAGGCGGCCUUACAAGUCAGGGGUGAAAACCUGCGGCUCAACCGCAGGCCUGCCUUUGAAACUGUUAGGCUGGAGUACCGGAGAGGUGGACGGAACUGCACGAGUAGAGGUGAAAUUCGUAGAUAUGUGCAGGAAUGCCGAUGAUGAAGAUAGUUCACUGGACGGUAACUGACGCUGAAGUGCGAAAGCCGGGGGAGCGAACAGG